AGUAUGAUAACUGGGUCAAAUGGUGGUUUCACUGAAAGUUUUCUAAGAAAUCUCCAUACUUCUUUCCAAAGUGUUUGCACAUUUUCCAAUCCCACCAGCAAU
rnacentral:pre_miRNA from 1 species